rnacentral:lncRNA from 1 species
CUUAAUUGUACUCAGAAUCUAAAUGAUUGUAUGUCUUCAAAUUUCACAGGCAAGCUCUUAGUCUGAAAAUUUGAGCCUUUGUGUACAGAGAAAAAGUUAAUAAUCUGAGGCCUGAAGUCACAGCUCAACCAUUCACUCUUGACCAUAGAAAUAUUGGACAUGUGGACUAAACACCAAAACUUGAUUGCAAUUUGGGAUAUACGCUCUUACUUGACUGUCAAAAAGGAAAGGACUGAUAUUCAAUAUAAAGUGAAAGGGACAGAAAAAUGGUACAACGUAGUAUCUUCCCAGCA